UAUUACAAACUCAUUGAUACCAAUGCAGUGUACAAACUGAAAUCCAUCCUCUUAGUAUUAUAAGAUGUUUAUUCCACAAGCAUAACAGACACACGAACAAUAUAUAGCAGGUCCAAUGAACUGACCAAGCUCAGACAAACACACUCCCAAGCCACACGAGGGAGUCAAACAACUGCUGCUUAGUCAAUCACUCAAGGUGCACACACAUCGGUGCGAGCAGCCAAGAACCAUGCUGCUUCUUAUUUGAAAGCCACAAUGCUAGGUGCGAGCCACCACAAGCUCACACCUGACAGACACAACAACACAAAGCAGCAGUAGGAGCCGAUCGAUCGAUGACCGACACCACCUGCAAAUCUCUUUCAAGCAACCCGGGAAGCACACAACAAACCAAACACAUGCAGCAGACAACAGGACCUGCAGGAUUGGGCGUCCAUCUGGUCUCCCAUUAAGGAUGGAAGAACCACAUCGGUGAAGCG
rnacentral:lncRNA from 1 species